GAUGAACGCUGGCGGCGUGCCUAACACAUGCAAGUCGAGCGAAGCGGGGACGGGUGAGAAACACGUGGAUAACAUCCUAUAUGACGGGGAUAACCUCGGGAAACCGGAGCUUAUACGGAUACUUUUAGAUGGAUCCGCACUGCAUUAGCUAGUUGGUAAGGUAACGGCUUACCAAGGCAACGAUGCAUAGCGGGCCUGAGAGGAUGAACAGCCACACUGGAACUGAGACACGGUCCAGACUCCGACGUGAGGCAGCAGUGGGGAAUCUUCCGCAAUGGGCGAAAGCCUGACGGAGCAACGCCGCGUGGAUGAUGAAGGUCUUCGGAUCGUAAAGCACUGUUAGUGGGGAGGCGGUACCUGAACAAAAAGCAACGGCUAACUACGUGCCAGCAGCCGCGGUAAUAC
rnacentral:rRNA from 1 species